rnacentral:rRNA from 1 species
ACAUGCCUACGGGGGGCAGCAGUGGGGGAUAUUGCACAAUGGAGGAAACUCUGAUGCAGCGACGCCGCGUGAGGGAUGAAGGUCUUCGGAUCGUAAACCUCUGUCAGCAGGGAAGAACGGUCACUGUGCUAAUCAGCAGUGAAUUGACGGUACCUGCAAAGGAAGCCACGGCUAACUACGUGCCAGCAGCCGCGGUAAUACGUAGGUGGCAAGCGUUAUCCGGAUUUAUUGGGUGUAAAGGGCGUGUAGGCGGGAGCGCAAGUCAGAUGUGAAAACUCAGGGCUCAACCCUGAGCCUGCAUUUGA